rnacentral:rRNA from 1 species
UACGGGGGGGGCAAGCGUUGUUCGGAAUUACUGGGCGUAAAGGGCGCGUAGGCGGCAUGGCAAGUCGGGAGUGAAAGGCCUGGGCUCAACCGAGGAACUGCUUUCGAGACUGCCAAGCUAGAGUGCGGAAGGGGCAUCUGGAAUUCCCAGUGUAGCGGUGAAAUGCGUAGAUAUUGGGAAGAACACCUGAGGCGAAGGCGGGAUGCUGGGCCGACACUGACGCUGAGGCGCGAAAGCCAGGGGAGCAAACGGG